rnacentral:rRNA from 1 species
UACAGGGGGGGCAAGCGUUGUUCGGAAUUACUGGGCGUAAAGGGCUCGUAGGCGGCCAACUAAGUCACACGUGAAAUCCCCAGGCUUAACAUGGGAACUGCGUGUGAUACUGGAUGGCUUGAAUUCGGGAGAGGGAUGCAGAAUUCCAGGUGUAGCGGUGAAAUGCGUAGAUAUCUGGAGGAAUACCGGUGGCGAAGGCGGCAUCCUGGACCGACAUUGACGCUGAGGAGCGAAAGCUAGGGGAGCAAACGGG